rnacentral:rRNA from 1 species
AUCCUGGCUCGGACGAACGCUGGCGGCGCGCCUAACACAUGCAAGUCGAACGAGAGAUAGGAGCUCGCUCUUCAAAUCGAGUGGCGAACGGGUGAGUAACGCGUGAGGAACCUGCCUCAAAGAGGGGGACAACAGUUGGAAACGACUGCUAAUACCGCAUAAGCCCACGGCUCGGCAUCGAGCAGAGGGAAAGGAGCAAUCCGCUUUGAGAUGGCCUCGCGUCCGAUUAGCUAGUUGGUGAGGUAAUGGCCCACCAAGGCGACGAUCGGUAGCCGGACUGAGAGGUUGAACGGCCACAUUGGGACUGAGACACGGCCCAGACUCCUACGGGAGGCAGCAGUGGGGAAUAUUGCACAAUGGGGGAAACCCUGAUGCAGCGACGCCGCGUGGAGGAAAGAAGGUCUUCGGAUUGUAAACUCCUGUUGUUGAGGAAGAUAAUGACGGUACUCAACAAGAAAGUGACGGCUAACUACGUGCCAGCAGCCGCGGUAAAACGUAGGUCACAAGCGUUGUCCGGAAUUACUGGGUGUAAAGGGAGCGCAGGCGGGAGAACAAGUUGGAAGUGAAAUCCAUGGGCUCAACCCAUGAACUGCUUUCAAAACUGUUUUUCUUGAGUAGUGCAGAGGUAGGCGGAAUUCCCGGUGUAGCGGUGGAAUGCGUAGAUAUCGGGAGGAACACCAGUGGCGAAGGCGGCCUACUGGGCACCAACUGACGCUGAGGCUCGAAAGUGUGGGUAGCAAACAGGAUUAGAUACCCUGGUAGUCCACACCGUAAACGAUGAUUACUAGGUGUUGGAGGAUUGACCCCUUCAGUGCCGCAGUUAACACGAUAAGU